UUUGAUAUGCUUAUCAUGUUACGGAUUAUGUUUGAUCAUGAAUUAUUUGAUGAUUUAUUGAAUUGUUUAUGAUUGGUUUUGAGUUAAGUCUUGCUGUUGACUUCUAUGAGCUUCUAUAUGCCAUGCCUUGACCUAAUUUGCUUAUGAAAUCAUAAUGAUGAAUGAUAUGAACAUGGAACCACUUGAGUUUGCUUCUUGAUUGUUUGCAUAUCAUUUUU
rnacentral:lncRNA from 1 species